GUCAUACCAAUUCUGUUAAUCUUAGACAAGAUGUUGAACAUUUAAGCAAUAUUUACAAACCUCUAAUCUCCGCCCACACAACAAAUUUUGUUUAACCUUAACUACAUACAAAAAAUUAUUUUGUCCCCAUUUACAGUCCUUUCUACAUAACUUUUCUUACAAAAUAUUUAUUGUUUUUCUGUAUAAUUGUUUAUAAUAGGUUCACCUUCACUCUGGAUUACAUUGUUUUCUCCCAUCAGUCGUUAUUCACCUGUUGACUCAAUUGGUUCAACCAACAAUAUUUCGUUAGACAUGUAGAACUUAAUUAUAAAGAGCCUACCUCCACUUCAUUGACACCUGUGAAUUAAUUUCAUUGCUAAAACUACCUUCUUCAACAACCUUUUAACACAAUGACAUACUGACUGUGAAGAAACAUAGUUCUUUAAUCUUUUUAAUUAAUGACUACCAACUUUUAACUCCCACAUAUAAAAUAACUUGAAGAUUGACAUAGUCUACCGUCACUCAAAAGAACACUGUUUCCACCAAUUGUAAUUGUGAAUUCGACUACAUCUUAGUCCACAUUCAAAAGCACGAAAUCGACAAUCUCAACGAUCCAGAGUUUAAGAAAAACGCGAAUUGGCUGCAAAUGCUGACGGCGUUGAUCGAGGAUCACCAGGAUUACGAGGGCAAGGAAGCGAAGGUUCAGUUGAACGAAUGGAUGCGAGAAAGGGAUAAUCUACGCAACGAUAUCAAACGCGUAUUCAACCAACAGUUUGGUUCAGUCUUUAGGACGUACCAUAAUCCGACCUACUUUUCUAGGCGUCUCUUUCGUUUCGCGGACAUCUACAUGAGCAACAUUACCAACCUCUUAAACUAUUCGACCACUCACACCUUUUACCCGAGGAGAGGAGUCAUGCCCCAUGAAUACACUAACUAUUUCGUAUAAACCGUGCGCAAACCGAGCCAAAACCAUCAUGCGGUAUAAAAUAUGCGUUACGAAAUUGAUC